UCCACACAGAGAGCAGCUGAAGACUAUCCAAGUUCCAUGGAACUUUGUUUAGACAAAGGACUUUGGUUCACUUUGUCCUGUGUGGCUCAGUUGGUAGAUCAUUGUGCUCGCAACACCACAGUUCCCAUGGGAGACCAGUACGAAAAUGUAUGCAUUCACUACUAAAUAUGGACCCAGAGGAGCAGAAAUAUGGACCCAGAGGCGCAGAAUAUGGACCCACAAAUGGCUGGCAGAAGUGGACAAUAUGCAGUUUCUAUUCUACAAAGGAAGUUGGAGAGGGUGAAAACCGAUAAACUAAUUGGAAAGUGUCACGGCCGUGGGACCAGGCGGCGGGCGGCGAGCGUACACGGCAACAGCACUCGAGGCGCUGGCAGGGGCGCCCGGCAACAAAGCAGCCUGACCUAUCAAAUCACAUUAAGAGGCCACAAGGUUAAAACGCUGACGCCUUCAAUAUCUGCCAAAAGGAAUGAGCGGCAUAAAUCACCAAGUUAGGCACCACACACUCCAACUCAUUGGCUGUGUACCAAAUGGCAAGCCUAUUCCCUUUAUAGUGCUCUACUUUUGACCAGAGUCCUACGAUACUCAGCCAUUGGCUCUUUAAAGUAAUCACUCCCCAUGUAAAAAAUAAAUAAACAUUAAAG
rnacentral:lncRNA from 1 species